rnacentral:lncRNA from 1 species
AGCUAUCUCGGAGUGUUGCCAGCAUGGACUUAAAGGUAGAUUUCUUAAUUCCUUUCUUUUUUUUGCGUAUUGUAGGAUUGACCUGGGAAUAUGUUUACUUCUGUUGUCUUCUCAGACCCUCAUCUUGGAGGUGGAGAGAGGCUGUCAUAAGCGGAAGAGGACGGACCUCUAUAAAAAGAUGUCGAUGAAAUAUCAAAAAUACUGCGCUAUGCACCGAGCGGUGGUCGACCUCUACCAGUAGGACCCUGAGUUUUAAGUAUUCCGCGAGGGUCUUAAAUAGAGGGAGACGCUUUUGGAUGCAGGGGGCGGAGCAAGAAGAGACAGAUGGGUGUCACACCUCCUUUUUCCUACACCCCGGAAGGGUAUAAGGGAAUUUUUCCAAUUUAAGUGACAAUCGAAAAGGGAUUAUUUGUUAAAAGAUUUAGAGUCGCCACUUGGGAGAUUUAUGGUGUACCAAGUCACCAGUUUAAAUCGCGAAGCGGGGAAAUAUUGACUUUGUUUAAUAGUCCUCGAACCAGAAAUCCGAAUAAGGAAUUCUGUUAGCUCAGAAGAAGGUAUUAGGGAUUCCCGGGCUCCGUGGUUCUAGCAUGGUCACUCAACUGUUAUAUCUGGCUUAGUUAUCUGAUUUUAAUACAUUUUAAACCUAUGUGCAAAUUUUAGCUUUUAACCGCUUUUAUUAAAUUUUUUUAGAAAAGUUGAACGUCUUUUAAAACGUGUCUUUGGAUCGCGCCACAUGAAAUGCACCAGCAAUCCUGAACACAUUUUAUUCAAAGUUUUGGAAUUUAAUUUGAGUCACAUGAAAUGCACAACCGAGUUUAAAAAGGUAAAAUUAUUAGACUAACGUGCCUAAAGCUUUUCACAUUUGCAACUAUGCAAGGGCUAUGAAAGUUCACUAAAUGGCGCACCUCAAAUUCUAAGGGCCAAUUCAAAAUCAAAUAAAAUAAGGGCCAUGCAAUUUGUUAUUAUUGUUUGGCAUGGCGCACCUCAACAUGACUAGUAGAACAUGAUCUAUAACACUAAAGCUAAAAAAACAAUAAGAUCCAGCUAUAUCAUAGUCUCAACAGUUCAUGAUUAGUUACAGCCUGACCCUUAGCUAUUCUAAGAGAUAAAUUAUUACAUCACUGAUUUAAUUGAAACAAAUAUGAGAACAGAAUUGUUCUUUAACACAAAGAGAAAAAUAAGAUUAAGCUAUGAAAUUGCUUCAUUUCAUCUUCAAACUUGGUUUCACAUUGUGAGAGUCAAAAUAUGUACCUGGAAUUUGAAAAACAAAGCAGAAAAUGAAGUAUCAGCAACAAAACAUCAGUAAUCAGCAACAACAUUAGCAGAAAAUGAGCUUCAAAUCCAACACCCAGAUAUUGAAACCAAACCAGAAAUCAACAUAAUAUACGCCUGUUCAAUAAACUUCAACACCCAACUUGAAAACCAAAUUCAGUUCCCUUUAAAUACUCAACAGAACCCAAAGAUGAUUCAACAAAGGGAAAUUUCAAAAGCAAGGCACGAGAAGUCAAUGAAACAGUAGACUAGAGUUCAUUUCAAAGUUGGAAAGAAAUCACUUAGCCAAUUUGAUGUAACGAUAACUCUUAUUUUCUCAUAUUUUCUUUCUAGUUUUCUCUCAGAUUUUCAAAAUGUCCAAGCUUUCUCAAAAUGAAUGGAAGAAGGUCCUUAAAUAGGCUUAUCUAAGGCAGCCCUAUCCUAACUAGUAAUUCCUUAUUCUACCCCUCUCAAACCACUUUGUUUUUACCUUUUCACCCCUAAAAGAAUAUGAAAAUCCACCCUCUGACAGACUCACAAUUUUACAUCUCUUAGGACCUUCUCUUCUAAAAGAAACGAUUCUCUCUUAACCUAGAAUUCCUGAACUACCCUUAUCCCUAUCAGUUAUUACAGCAUUACAUGACCCUUAAGACCCCCAAAGUUUCCUUGGUUCCAUUAAGACCCCAAGAGUUCCCACUAAUAAUAAUUAGGACAAACAAAAAAAUUCAAAAUUGAAAGAUCUGAAUGACCUUGGAAUCAAUAUGACACACCCAGGAAUACUUGAAUCUAUUCAGAAUUCUAACUAGAAACUAACAUACACGAAUUGAAUAAACUGGACAUAAUAGAUAAUAGUUCUGAACACUAACAUGCCACCAUUUCGAUUUUCUUAAUGAACAAUAAAUUAAACAUGAUCAACAUAAACCUUAUCAGAAAUAAAACUAAAUAAAAACACAAAACUUAUGCCUAAGCAUACAAUCCAAAUCACAAUAUGAUGCAGAAAACCAAAGUCAACCAAGAAAAGAGGAUUACCUGAAACACCUUUUCAACACUCGAAUCAUUCACUCAAACCGUCGAGCCAAAGAGUGAAUUCGAACAACUAUUAAUCAUCUGUUCUUAACAAGAACAGUCAUCUAACAGAUGUUUUGAGUUCACCCAAGCAUCUCAGGACCCAAAAAAAUGCAAAAGGAAAAAAACAGGAACUAGGGGUCCAUAUUUCAGAUCCAAGAUUCAAGGAUUCCGGAUAAGAUUUGAGGGAAAUUGGGUGGGGAUUUGAGAUGAGUAAAUGAAGGGGACCCUAGGGUGGGAUUUUGCGACAGAUUGGACAAAUUAGGGUUUUGGUUGUUUCCCUUCGAUUUAGAUUCGAGGAGUUAGGCUGGCAUUCGAGGGAUGAGGUUUGGAGUUUUGGAAAGAGGGGGAAGAGAGGAAUAUAUGGUGCGAAAGUGGGGUUGAUUGGGGCUACGUCGCCGGUGGAGGCGAUUUCCGGAAGGCGGCACAGGGUGAAGCUGGUAAGGGCUGCUCUGUGGGUGUGGAGACGAUGAGAGGGGUAGGGGUAGUUUGGACAGUUUUAUAUCUAGUGUUGACAAGUUCUGAG